rnacentral:misc_RNA from 1 species
UGUGAGAGCGAGCCUGCUCGCGAUAGCGGAGUGUCAUUUAGCAUCCUUUGUGAAUGUUACACCGCCAUCGUGAGCAGGCUCGCUUCCUCA